GGGUAGACCGUUCAGUAAACCAACAAAUUAAAACACAUAAAAUAAGCAUUACAUAAUUCAGAUUCAUAGAUACUCUAGUAAUGUCUAAACAAAUAAUUUCAGCCAAAGAAAGAAACAUAGAUCUUCAAAUAGAUUAAUGAGUAAGAGAAAAACAAUUAUAAUCAAUCAUGCAUGCCCUUACGCCCAACACAUGGUAAAAUGUGUAUUGGCUUUGUUGUUGAAUAAUAACAGGAAAACAUUCUUAAACACCACAUCAAUAUUUUGUUCGACCGCAGCAAUCUUGAUAAAGCUAUUAAACAGACACUGGAAGACAUAUAUACAAAUGUUUAUAACAUAGAUGCCAACCCCCUUUGUUGCAAUCAAUAAAAUGUAUUUCCUCACUUUCCUUGCCAUGUCAUUAUAAACAUUGCCAUAAUAGACACUCUUCUCUUAUAAUACUGACGUAAAGUCUACAAACAAUCUUUGUUGUAAUCAACAAACUAAUCAAAUAAUUUAACAUAAAAUAUUAAAGACAGCAUCAUUUAACAAGAACAAAUAGUAUUUUAGCACUAAUGGGAUCUGU
rnacentral:lncRNA from 1 species